GACGGGCGCGAUGGCUGCGCUCGCCGGGUUAGGGGUUCUCGGCGCCGGGCGCCAUCUGUGGAAACUGCCUGUGCGCCUGUCUGCGGGGCUCCAGGGCUGCGGGCCCCGGAGGGGCUACAUCGCGGGCAGCGCUGAGGUGAGGACGCAUGGGGUCUGCACUCGCAGGGCCUGCGGGCGGGAGGGCCGUGCGGGCCACUGAGCAUCCUGGCCUGGGGCCGCCCUCCCGGAGACCGUGGAGCCGCGGAACCCUUCGUCCUUCCCGAAGCGGUGUCCGGGUGCGCACCUUCCACCCGCUGGAAGAGUCCUUGUCCGGAGAAAAACCAACCCCAGGUCAGCCUCGGGUGGGUUCGCAGCUCCUUCCCGCGCGUCAGGAAUGUGCCUCAGCAGUUAAUUCGUUUCCACUUCUGCUCGAAGUAAGGGUUCGCGGAUUCUUAUUUCUAAAAAGGUAACUGUUUGAAUAUGGCCAGUAAACUGUACGGCUCAGGUGUGCAGCCAUCAAGGCAAAGGAACUGUUAUCAUCAUCAUCAUCAUCAUCAUCAUCAUCAUCAUCAUCAUGUGUUGUGUGUAUGUGAGACAGAGGGAGAGGGAGAGAGAAAGGAGUAGUAGGCAGGUUAGAGAACAACUUUGGGGUUCUCACCUUCCAGUGUGUGUUAUGUGGAACUCAUCUUCAGCCUUGUUCAACAAACUUUUAACAGCUUAGCCUUCUUGCUGGGCUUUGAUUUUUUUUUUUUUUAAUGUGAGUUUCCAAAAAUUAUGAGAGAGUAUGAAUUCCAUAUUUUUAUUUUUCAAACAACUAAUCACUUCGUUUUGGCGCACCUGCUUCUCUCUCCCGCUUUAUGGCUGUAAUACUUUAAAUCCUGGAGUUUUUAUUAUUUAAACCCUAAACUGUGUGGGAAGCUUUAAAAGAGGCGUUUUACACUGAACCACAGUGCUAUUACCAUGCCUAACACACUUCUCUCGACUUAUUUUGAAAUUAUAAGUGAAUAGAUUUGUUGUGUGUUUGUGUGAGAAGCCACAAUACGUUCCCUAACUGACCUGUAGACCAGGCUAGCCAAAAGUCCUUGCUGACCCAUCCACCUGCCUCUGCUUCCUAGGUGCUGGUUUUCAGGCAUGUGCCACUAGGCCCGCUUUCAGGGAUCCAGAGCAGUGUUGCUUGGAUUCACAAUGGGACAGAAAUGAAAUUGAACUGCUAUCUCAAGGGAAGUGCGUCCCAGCUAUCCUUGGGGUCACACAACAGCCAUUACUGAACCCCUAGAGGGGUCUAAGCAUGGUGUUUAUAGAGAAAUCCUACCCUCUUAGCUUUUCAGACCUGUAUGCUGAUUCUCUGUGGGAAGAGUAAGAUGAGAAAAUCAGACC
rnacentral:lncRNA from 1 species